UUAGACUGUCCGAGGUCUUCAGGAAAAUGGCUGCCAGAUGAAGACAACCGGAUUAGGGCACUGCUGACUGAGGUGGUAGAGGAGGGGCAGAGCCAAUGCUGUUCUCUGCUGCUGAUACAGCGCCACCGAGACCAUCCGCACUUUUGCCUCCCUGGAAACUGCUGGAACAGCUUCCUACUGGGACCACUGUUUCUCCUAUCUUUCAAACCGACACACCUGCUGCUCGGGUUCGGGUUUCAGGCUGCCAGAGGACUACUGGAGAGUUGCUACACUCUUUCAAUGCGCAAAACAGUGUUGUGCCUGCAGCGCAACACUAAUAGACUUGUAUGGACACAAUGUAACCAAAUCCCUCAGUGCGCUGCUAGUGCCAUGGACUUGAUUUGUUUUUGCGAGUAAGUUCUCCAGGAGAAGAAAGAUAAUAACAAACCCAUCAAAGAAUAGAUUCUCCAAUGCAAAAGCCGGUUGAAUGGGAAUUCUUUUUUAACCUAAGACCUAAGUGUUUUUGCACCAUAGUAAAUAUAAAGCAAGAAUAAAAAAAUACAAAAAGUGUCCAUAACCUUUAAACCUUUCAACAAGCUU